rnacentral:rRNA from 1 species
GACGAACGCUGGCGGCGUGCUUAACACAUGCAAGUCGAACGAAGAGCGACGGAAGCUUGCUUCUAUCAAUCUUAGUGGCGCACGGGUGAGUAACGCGUAAUCAACCUGCCCUUCAGAGGGGGACAACAGUUGGAAACGACUGCUAAUACCGCAUACGAUCUAACCUCGGCAUCGAGGAUAGAUGAAAGGUGGCCUCUACAUGUAAGCUAUCACUGAAGGAGGGGAUUGCGUCUGAUUAGCUAGUUGGAGGGGUAACGGCCCACCAAGGCGAUGAUCAGUAGCCGGUCUGAGAGGAUGAACGGCCACAUUGGGACUGAGACACGGCCCAGACUCCUACGGGAGGCAGCAGUGGGGAAUCUUCCGCAAUGGACGAAAGUCUGACGGAGCAACGCCGCGUGAGUGAUGACGGCCGUCGGGUUGUAAAGCUCUGUUAAUCGGGACGAAAGGCCUUCUUGCGAAUAGUGAGAAGGAUUGACGGUACCGGAAGAGAAAGCCACGGCUAACUACGUG